UACGAAGGGGGCUAGCGUUGCUCGGAAUUACUGGGCGUAAAGGGCGCGUAGGCGGUUAUUUAAGUUAGAGGUGAAAGACCAGGGCUCAACCCUGGAAUAGCCUUUAAUACUGGAUAUCUUGAGUUCGGGAGAGGUGAGUGGAACUCCGAGUGUAGAGGUGAAAUUCGUAGAUAUUCGGAAGAACACCAGUGGCGAAGGCGACUCACUGGCCCGUUACUGACGCUGAGGCGCGAAAGCGUGGGGAGCAAACAGG
rnacentral:rRNA from 1 species